rnacentral:rRNA from 1 species
AAGGUUGAUAAAGUGAUUAAGAUUGAUUCUGUCUUUAAUUUUAUGUUUUAGAUUAGUUAUUUGAUAAUAUUAAAUAUAAAUUUUUGUGUGUUAAUUAGGUUUUUCUAAAAG